AUUGAACGCUGGCGGCAGGCCUAACACAUGCAAGUCGAGCGGAGCGGCGGACGGGUGAGUAAUGCCUAGGAAUCUGCCUGGUAGUGGGGGCUACCGUCCGGCAACGGGCGCUAAUCCCGCAUACUAGCAGAUACGCCUAGGUCGGAGUAGCUAGUUGGUGUGGUAAAGUCCUACCAAGGCGACGAUCCGUAACUGGUCUGAGAGGAUGAUCAGUCAAACUGGAACGGAGACACGGGCCAGAAUCCUACGGGAGGCAGCAGUGGGGAAUAGUGGACAAUGGGAGAAAGCCUGACUCAGCCAUGCCGCGUGUGUGAAGAAGGUCUUCGGAUUGUAAAGCACUUUAAGUUGGGAGGCGUUACCAACAGAAUAAGCACCGGCUAACUUCGUGCCAGCAGCCGCGGUAAUAC
rnacentral:rRNA from 1 species